UCUGUGGAGCCAACAUGGC
rnacentral:snRNA from 1 species